rnacentral:lncRNA from 1 species
GCAGAGGGCCCUUAUAGGGAGAUCCAUCUGUAUCUUCUUCAGUGCCCCUCUAGUAGAGGCUGUGGGUUGAUGUGUGGGCCCUACGAUGAGAUCCAGGGAAAGGCCCCCAGCUCCUGGCCUGCUCUCAGCCUGUGUGAUGAUAAACACCACUGCUCCGGGUGUACGUUCUUCAUCCCUGGGGUGGAGUUAGGAUGUGUGACUAGGAAGACUUGCUAGAUCAUGGAGGGACCAGGCUGCUGGGCCUCAACCUGACCAGCAUCUCCACGCCCCGCCCCACUCCAGCCAGUGUAGGGAGCUCUGCGGUGAUGAGCACGGCCAUCAUGGCAACGCUGCUGCUCUUCAAGCAUCAGAAGCUCCUGGGGGAGUUCUCCUGGCUGACGGAGGAGAUACUGUUGCGUGGCUUUGAUGUAGGCUUCUCUGGGCAGCUGCGGAGCCUGCUGCAGCACUCACUGAGCCUGCUGCGGGCGCACGUGGCCCUGCUGCGCAUCUGCCAGGGCGACUUGCUGGUGGUGCCGCGGCCUGGCCCAGGCCUCACACACCUGGCACAACUGAGUGCUGAGCUUCUGCCCGUCUUCCUGAGCGAGGCUGUGGGCGCCUGUGCAGUGCGGGGGCUGCUGGCAGGCAGAGUGCCGCCCCAGGGGCCCUGGGAGCUGCAGGGCAUAUUGCUGCUGAGCCAGAAUGAGCUGUACCGCCAGAUCCUGCUGCUGAUGCACCUGCUGCCACAAGACCUGCUGCUGCUAAAGGUCAGGCCUCCCCUACGGCCCACUUGGUCCUAGGCCUUCCCCUCUUGGUGGUAGGAAUGGCCCAUCCCUGCCCAUGCUCUACCUCUGAAACCUCCUGGGUGGUAGGUGUGGCCUUGCCCGGUCUUUGGCUAGGCCCCUGCCCAUGUGCCUGGCUCUCCUGAGGCCACAUGGGUGCCUUUUCUCCCAGCCCUGCCAGUCUUCCUACUGCUACUGUCAGGAGGUGCUGGACCGGCUCAU